rnacentral:rRNA from 1 species
AUUGAACGCUGGCGGCAGGCUUAACACAUGCAAGUCGAGCGGGGUGAUGGUGCUUGCACUAUCACUUAGCGGCGGACGGGUGAGUAAUGCUUAGGAAUCUGCCUAUUAGUGGGGGACAACAUCUCGAAAGGGAUGCUAAUACCGCAUACGUCCUACGGGAGAAAGCAGGGGAUCACUUGUGACCUUGCGCUAAUAGAUGAGCCUAAGUCGGAUUAGCUAGUUGGUGGGGUAAGGGCCUACCAAGGCGACGAUCUGUAGCGGGUCUGAGAGGAUGAUCCGCCACACUGGGACUGAGACACGGCCCAGACUCCUACGGGAGGCAGCAGUGGGGAAUAUUGGACAAUGGGGGGAACCCUGAUCCAGCCAUGCCGCGUGUGUGAAGAAGGCCUUAUGGUUGUAAAGUACUUUAAGCGAGGAGGAGGCUCUUUUGGUUAAUACCCAAGAUGAGUGGACGUUACUCGCAGAAUAAGCACCGGCUAACUCUGUGCCAGCCGCCGCCGAA